rnacentral:lncRNA from 1 species
GGGAGGGAGGGGUAGAUGCCUUUUUUGCUUCCUGGGAGGGUCCCUGGUCUAACCACCAGUCUCCAUCUCACUGUGUGUGUGUCGAUGUGGCUGUCUCCCCACCAUCUCCUAGUCAAAGCGCUUACAGGACAUACGUGACCUUGUGAUAGCAGGUUGUGUUCAGAGACGUGACAGCAGGUUGUGUUCAGAGACGUGAUAGCAGGUUGCAUUCAGAGACCUUGACAGCAGGUUGCGUUCAGAAACGGGAUAGCAGGUUGUGUUCAGAGACGUGAUAGCAGGUUGUGUUCAGAGACGUGAUAGUAGGUUGUGUUCAGAGAUGUGAUAGCAGGUUGCGUUCAGAUACGUGAUAGCAGGUUGAGUUUAGAGACGUGAUAGCAGGUUGCGUUCAGAGUUGUGAUAGUAGGUUGUGUUCAGAGACGUGACAGCAGGUUGCGUUCAUAAAUGGGAUAGCAGGAUGCGUUCAGAGACAUGAUAGCAAGUUGCGUUCAGAGACAUGAUAGUAGGUUGCGUUCAGAAAUGUGAUAGCAGGUUGCCUUCAGAGAUGUGAUAGCAGGUUACGUUCAGAGAUGUGAUAGCAGGAUGCGUUCAGAGAUGUGAUAGCAGGUUGCGUUCAGAGAUGUGAUAGCAGGUUGCGUUCAGAGAUGUGAUAGCAGGUUGCGUUCAGAGACGUGAUAGCAGGUUGCGUUCAGAGACAUGAUAGCAGGUUGCGUUCAGAGACAUGAUAGCAGGUUGCGUUCAGAGAUGUGAUAGCAGGUUGCCUUCAGAGACGUGACAGAAGGUUGCGUUCAGAGAUGUAAAGCAAGACGCGUUCAGAGACAUGAUAGCAGGACGCGUUCAGAGACGUGAUAGCAGGACGCGUUCAGAGACGUGAUAGCAGGAUGCGUUCAGAGACGUGACAGCAGGUUGCAUUCAGAAAUGUGAUAGCAGGAUGCGUUCAGAGACGUGAUAGCAGGAUGCGUUCAGAAAUGUGAUAGCAGGACGCGUUCAGAGACGUGAUAGCAGGAUGCGUUCAGAGACGUGACAGCAGGUUGCAUUCAGAAAUGUGAUAGCAGGAUGCGUUCAGAGACGUGAUAGCAGGAUGCGUUCAGAAAUGUGAUAGCAGGACGCGUUCAGAGACGUGACAGCAG